UAGACUAAUUUUCCAAUCCUUACUGGCACGGGUUGAUCGUUUACUUUUGCUCCAUAUAUUAUGCCCUGAACUUUGCCUAGGAUAAACUCUAUCUUUAGAGCCUCCUCCAUAUUUACUGACGUCGAGACCAGCCAGUCGGAAGGACUCAACCUCUUUUUGUAAUGGAGCCAGAUCAAACCUCUACCUCUCUCACCUCAGGGACGAUACGAGUGCAAAAAUAAAAGAGGUGUAUCUCGACUCUUUUUCGUAAAGAUAGACAAUGUAGCUAAUCGAUAUCUAAACCAUUGUUGCUUUGUGUCGCUAAAAGUAUUUUGGAAUACCACGUGCGGACUCACAUUUGAAGAGUGUCAUUCUAGACUAAGUCUCUCCAUUCUUCUCCUCACGAGGACUUCGGGUUCGACUGAGAAUGGGACGUACCUUAUUAGAUGAAAAACUUUUGGAAGGACGUUAAUGUUCCAUGCUAACAUUGCUUCGUAUCUAGCUCUGGAAGGUUCCUAUAAAUCAUGAUAUUUCUUUGGAGCGUAUUCAUUAUUUUAUUUUCGUUCUUGCUUCUAGCCUCAUGGUUGGACAAAAAAACUUCAAUUCCAAGUAGAGAGGUUGACGUAACGAACGCAAAGUUACCAAGGUGUGCCCUCAGGAAUUCUUCACAGUUCGACAAAAUUUCUGUGUACCCAAGAUUAAUCGUAUGUCCCGACUUCCUCCGGAAAAUCUGGAGCACCUCCAUGGAAUAAUUAAUAGAUUUCAACCUUCAAUACUCGAAUCAUUCAUAAGCAUCUCGUAUAUUCUGUUCAUUGAUAUGUUGAAGAGGGAUGGUGAAAGUAGAUCACCCUGCUGAGCUCCCCUUCCGAUCCUUCGCUCCUGGUAAAUCAAUCUUUGACGAAUCACUUCGCAGAAUUGCUGACAACAUUUUUACGAAACCACUUGGGAAGCCAUAACUAAAAAGUUUUUCUAUUAUAAACUUAUGAGACAAUGUAUCAAAGGUUUUUUUUCGAAAUCGACCAGAAGUGCUGCGUAUUUUCAUGAAACCUUUCUGUGCUGACGAUAUAAUAUGGGGGAGGAUGUUAAUCACCCGUUGGUUAAG
rnacentral:lncRNA from 1 species